CGAGAGCGUGGGAAACCAGCAAGUUGAGAGAGGAUCCAGAAGUAACCCUUUCUAAAAUGGGAAAGAUGCCUUCCGAAAGCGCUUGGCCCUAAAGAGAAAACACUAGGAGGAUGAGAACUGGGAACAGAGAAGCCACUUGCUCUGCAGCUAUUUGGGCCACCAUGGGCCCCAAUUCCUACAUGAUGAGGACAAAC